rnacentral:rRNA from 1 species
AUGAACACUAUGCUAAUGUCUCCAUAUAAGGCAAAGGAGGUGAAAACUGCACUGUUCCAAAUGUAUCCGACAAAAGCGCCGGGCCCCGACGGAUACCCAACACAUUCUUCCAACAUCACUGGGAUUUGUGCGGCCCUGAGGUCACAGAGGUGGUGCUGCGGAUCGGGGAGAGGAAAGCCCAAAGAGGAACAAUCGGCAUUUGUACCAGGGAGGAUGAUCACUAAUAAUAUUAUCACGGCCCAUGAGUGCUUGCAUUUUAUGAAAAGGAACAAGCCACAAAGGAACAGAUUUUGCGCGCUUGGCAUGAUGAAGGCCUCUGAUAGGGUCGAGUGGGAAUACUUGGAAGCGAUCAUGCUCAAGCUUGGUUUUGAGCCCGGUUGGGUCUCAUUAAUCAUGAGGAUGGUGAUUUUGGUUAAAUUUUCAGUGCUCUUUAAUGGUAGCAAGCUCGAACAAUUUUCACCUUCUAGGGGGAUCCGUCAGGGAGACGCAAUUUCUCUGUACCUAUUUUUACUUACAGCGGAGGGCCUUUCAUGCCUUUUGAAAUCUAAUGAAUCAGCACACCUCAUUGGUAUUCGAGUGGCUCCGCCGGCUCCACCGGUAAGCCACUUACUUUUUGCGGAUGAUAGCCUGCUGUUUGUAGGAGCUAGUGUUGAUGGAGCAAAUGAGUUGUCUUCUAUUUUAGAUCGCUACUAUAAUGCCUCGGGCCAAAGGAUCAACCUCUCAAAAUCGUUAGUUUUUUUAGUAAGGGUUGUCCCAAUGUGCUCUGGACAAGUGUAA